GACGAACGCUGGCGGCGUGCCUAAUACAUGCCAGUUGAGCGCUGAAGGUUGGUACUUGUACCAACUGGAUGAGCAGCGAACGGGUGAGUAACGCGUGGGGAAUCUGCCUUUGAGCGGGGGACAACAUUUGGAAACGAAUGCUAAUACCGCAUAAAAACUUUAAACACAUGUUUUAAGUUUGAAAGAUGCAAUUGCAUCACUCAAAAAUGAUCCCGCGUUGUAUUAGCUAGUUGGUGAGGUAAAGGCUCAACAAGGCGAUGAUACAUAGCCGACCUGAGAGGGGGAUUGGCCACAUUGGGACUGAGACACCGCCCAAAAUCCUACGGGAGGGAGCAGGAGGGAAUCUUCGGCAAUGGACGAAAGUCUGACCGAGCAACGCCGCGUGAGUGAAGAAGGUUGUCGGAUCGUAAAAAUCUGUUGGUAGAGAAGAACGUUGGUGAGAGUGGAAAGCUCAUCAAGUGACGGUAACUACCCAGAAAGGGACGGCUAACUACGUG
rnacentral:rRNA from 1 species